CGACUCAAUCCACACUUUGCUGCAACUUAAGGUUAGAUUCAUCCAUAUAAUCAAUGAAAUAAACUUCAAACAAUUUUGAAUAUAUGUCAUGGUGGUGCUGCAUACUCUAAACAAUGAAAAUUACUAUUGUCCACUUAAGAGUACGUUUCACUUGAAACUUUGCCGAAUUGGAAUUUUGAAUUCACUAUCCCUUUUCUAUCGCAAAUUUUAUCUCAUUUUUAAUCAUUAAAAUACAUCUUGAUCUCAUUCUACUAA
rnacentral:lncRNA from 1 species